ensembl:lncRNA
AGUGUUCACCCCCUGGACAAACAACCAGGGCUUUAUUUCUUUUUAAAUGAAUCAUCUGCUUCCUGUGUGGAUUGCUUUGAAAACUUCACCCGGAGCCACGUGGGACAGGAGAUGUGAUGCACGUUUCCCAGGGAAGCUGCAUGAAUCAGCAACUGAUGCAAAGCCUUUUUCUCAGCACUGUUUACUGUUACAUUAAUUUCAGAUGUCGGGCCUCAACCUCAUUUUGUCAAUUUCAGCGACCACAGGCCACUUCUGCCACGGACCAGCAGCCUGCUGCCCCAGCAUGACAGAGCGUGUCCCUGAGGCACAGAACCCCCAGGCCCAGCAGAAGACACGAGGGAGGAGGUCAGGACGCGCGGGACUCCUGGGCUGGUCAGAAGGCACCCAGUGAAAGGUGCCAGCUGAUCUCUUCGUGUUACUAAUGGGUUGUGAGUUAGUGCUGGUAACUCCCAGAGCUGUCCAGAAGAAUUCCUCAG